GAUGAACGCUGGCGGCGUGCCUAAUACAUGCAAGUCGAGCGAACGGACGAGAAGCUUGCUUCUCUGAUGUUAGCGGCGGACGGGUGAGUAACACGUGGAUAACCUACCUAUAAGACUGGGAUAACUUCGGGAAACCGGAGCUAAUACCGGAUAAUAUUUUGAACCGCAUGGUUCAAAAGUGAAAGACGGUCUUGCUGUCACUUAUAGAUGUAUCCGCGCUGCAUUAGCUAGUUGGUAAGGUAACGGCUUACCAAGGCAACGAUGCAUAGCCGACCUGGGAGGGUGAUCGGCCACACUGGAACUGAGACACGGUCCAGACUCCUACGGGAGGCAGCAGUAGGGAAUCUUCCGCAAUGGGCGAAAGCCUGACGGAGCAACGCCGCGUGAGUGAUGAAGGUCUUCGGAUCGUAAAACUCUGUUAUUAGGGAAGAACAUAUGUGUAAGUAACUGUGCACAUCUUGACGGUACCUAAUCAGAAAGCCACGGCUAACUACGUG
rnacentral:rRNA from 1 species